CAAUAGCGUAUAUUAAAGUUGUUGCAGUUAAAAAGCUCGUAGUUGGAUUUCUGGUGGGAGCGAUCGGUCUGGCGCUUAGCGCGAGUACUUGCAUCGUCUCCGGCCAUCCUUGGGGAAAGUCUGUCUGGCAUUAAGUUGUCGGGCAGAGGAUCCUCAUUGUUUACUGUGAAAAAAUUAGAGUGUUCAAAGCAGGCUUAUGCCGUUGAAUAUAUUAGCAUGGAAUAAUAAGAUAGGACUUUGGUACUAUUUUGUUGGUUUGCGCACCAAAGUAAUGAUUAAUAGGGACAGUUGGGGGUAUUCGUAUUCCGUUGUCAGAGGUGAAAUUCUUGGAUUUACGGAAGACGAACUACUGCGAAAGCAUUUACCAAGGAUGUUUUCAUUAA
rnacentral:rRNA from 1 species